UACGUAGGGGGCUAGCGUUGUCCGGAAUCAUUGGGCGUAAAGAGCGUGUAGGCGGUCCGGUAAGUCCGCUGUGAAAGUCGGGGGCUCAACCCUCGAAUGCCGGUGGAUACUGUCGGGCUAGAGUGCGGAAGAGGCGACUGGAAUUCCUGGGUGUAGCGGUGAAAUGCGCAGAUAUCAGGAGGAACACCAAUGGCGAAGGCAGCUCGCUGGGACGGUACUGACGCUGGAGGCGCGAAAGCGUGGGGAGCAAACAGG
rnacentral:rRNA from 1 species